rnacentral:rRNA from 1 species
GAGAAACUAAACAGGAUUCCUUUAGUAAUGGCGAAUGAAGAAGGAUUAGCUCAACAUGAAAAUUGGGGCUUCUGGCCUUGAAUUGUAGUUUGAAGAUGCAUUUGCCAAUGGACAUGAUAAUGAAAGCCUUUUGGGAAAAAGCAUCAACGAGGGUGAGAAUCCUUCUUGACAUUUCAAUUGUCCAUGUACGGUGUGCAUUGAAGAUUCACGUUCCUUGGGAUUUGAACGCAAACUUGUUGGUAAAUUUCAUUUAAAGCUAAAUAUUGGUUUGAGACCGAUAGAAAACAAGUACCAUGAGGGAAAAGUGAAAAGGACUUUGAAAAGAAAGUUAAAAGUGCUUGAAAUUGCUGAAGAGGAAGCGGGUGUAUUUCAAACACAAUUUUCAAGAUUGUUGUGCAUAUCUGUGAUUUCUUGUUGUUUUGACUUCAUCGCAGCAACAAGACUGAUCUGUGACUGCACAAUGUUGCUUGUGUUUUGUGCCAUCAUCGAUUCACAGCUAAAGAAACAGCCUGAAAAUGACGAUUUGCUCUUGUGCAAAUGAAUGUUUGGGUGUAGAUUUAGCUUGUGGACCGUCUGUCUUCCUGUUGUGUUGAUACCUUGGUGUCCACAACAUGAAAAUGAUGGCCAAAGAAAUACAUUCGGCCCGUCUUGAAACACGGACCAAGGAGUUUAACACAUGUGCAAGUUUGGUGUGUGAUGCUUCUUUGCGCAAUGAAAAUGAUAUUUGGUAUAUUCUUGCACCAAUAACCAACCGCUCAAUCGUGAGAGGUUUGAGUAUGAGCAUAUUUGUUAAGACCCGAAAGAUGGUGAACUAUGCCUGGGAAGGGUAAAUUCAGGGGAAACUCUGAUGGAGGCUCGUAGCGAUACUGACGUGCAAAUCGUUCGUCAUACUUGGGUAUA